AAGACGGAUCACUUUGCAAGAGGCUAAGCAUUGGUCUUGGCAGACAGACAGCAAUCCAAAUAUACACCUAUACACGUCCUUGGUCUCAUAGUCUAGCUUGGAGUGGAACAGUGUGUCGCGUGUUGCUUGGUGCAGCGGUGUGCGAGGCGUGUGUGCCAGGGGACGAGGCGAGCUUACCUGAUGGGGCCUUUUGUUGCGGGUCCUGGUAGGACAGGAGGGAAGGGUGGAAGUUUUCCUCUGCCCAGAGCCAGGCCGGGAUUUUGUCUUAUAAAAGCCCGGGAUCGGACCGGGAGUGUGAGAGAAGAGCGUCGGUGUGAGGAGACGUUGGUGUACCCAGGGCUUGGCUGUGCGGUUCCCUGUGUUGGUACGUCCCUCCCGUAUCUCGUGCCUUCCGUGUGGUGCUCAGGACCGGGCUGUGUGAGGCUGUGUUUUUUUCCCCGGGGUGGGGACGUGUCCUGGCGGCAGUUCCACCUUCUCCUGCGUUUUCAGCGUGCGGCACGUCAUGAGCCGAUUGGGCUCAACCACCGGAUCACUCGAUCAAGCGGAGUGAAAAGCCAUCACACAGCCGAAGGAUUAACGGACUACCAUCAGUCAGCACACGGGGGGGCGGGGGGCAGUUAACCACCUGCAUGGAAGUGUUAGCGGACUGUUUGUCGAGCCCCGAGACUCGAGUCACCGACGACGAACUGUGUCCUUGGAAGCACUAGGGGGCGUGACACUGACUCACCCGUGGCAGUGAGCGGCGAGCGUCCCGGACAGUGACAUGAAAGGGGGGAAUACCCUUGUGAACUGCAACGAAAGUUGUGUACCGCGUCAGACCACGCGAGCGCCAUAGGCUAGGGGGCGCGUGUAGACGUGUGGAUGGAUGUCUGGUUUUCCCUUUUGUUUUGUUUUCGGCGUGUGUUAGGGCUCUCCCCUAUUUGUUUGGGUUGGCCACCUGUAUAACAGGGUUUUGUUUUCUUUUUCUUUCCUUUCCCCCAUACUUUUAUGUUAUUUUCUUUUGAGCUGGCGGUCGCAUUACACGACCGCCAAUAAAUUUUUGUUUUGUGUUGUCACUUCGUGUGCGCGUUUUGUGUCCACUGAGGAGUGAUUGGCUUCGUUGCUCGCGUCGGGCGCGCGGAGGUUUGUUGUGUGAUUGCGAGUAUGUGGGAGAGUGAGUCCCGCAACGCCCGAUCGCGUUACGCGACACAGUGCACGGCACAGACAAAGUAAGACUGUCGGAUGGUUUAUGAUCAAAGAUGACUCCAAGAAAUGUCACUUUCUGGACUAUUUUGAGUAAUGAGUACUGUGCUGUUUACAGAGAAAGACGGGUCUCGAAACAUGCCUUACAGUUUGCGAAAGUAGAUGCAUACUGACUCUGCAUCAGAAGAUUUGAAGGUGUUUUCUACACAGUUAAAGCACAUCUGAAGAUUGUGUUCAAGGGAUGGUAAGGAUCUCCCUGGGGUGCGAAAAGAUAAAUCUUCUGCACGCGCCUUUUCCAAACCUGGAUGGACACACUUUCUAUUUUGACACUGAAGAGAGUAGGAAAAAGUAUGUUGCCUUGUGGGAUGCCCAUUUCCGAAAAGUCAGGAGAUAGUGGAGCGAAGUAGAAUUGUAAUCAAUGGUGGAUGUCAAUGAAUCAGUACCAUCCUGUGGCUCAGUGUCUCCAACCUGCAUGUUUCCUUUUAAGCCAGCCUGAAACCUAAUCUUCCUUACAGCCGCCCACACUAUACUGGAAAUGGUGUGGAAGGAUUAACCUAAAACAGAACUCUGUAACGCAAGUUUUCUAUUUUAUUUUUAAAAAAAACCAUUGUGUGCCUGCAUUCAACGGAGUCUAAAACUGAGCAUGUUUUCUGUUUCUGGAGUGGGGUGGCAAAAGGCAAGGCUUUCUUCAAAGCCUUCUUCAGGCAUGCUAAAUCACCGGGCAUUCCUUGAUAAAGAAUUGAACAUGUGAUUAGUGAUUAUGUGUCCUUUGUCCAGGAAUUGUUGCUGAAGCAUCUCCCGUUUUAAAAAAAAAGUCCUAGAUGGUCCUGUAAGGGAUUGUGUAAGGCUGUGUUUUACGCCAUGCCAGCAGCCAGGGCCACAUCACAACGACAUAAAGUAAACUUAUUUUAAACAGUUUAGGGGCAAGUUCCCCAUGUGAUAUAACCACAAAAUCAGCAUCAAUAAAAUGCAACACAAGAAACAAGAAUAAUGUAAAAAGAAGAGGACACAAUCAAGACUGGGAAAAUCAGAUCUUGUGAGAGCUGUGAAUAUGAUUCUGUCUUGAAAGAGCGACCACUUGCUCCAGACAUUUCAAACCAGAAUGUUACAUUGAAGGUAAAGGCAUUUGUCAUCACCGUAUCCCAGUAAGUCAACCCAUGGAGUUUAUGCCAAAAUAGACCAUUGAAACACCUAAGCCAUAUACUAGGAAGCCAUCAGUGAGUAUUAAUUAUUCAUUACUAUGAUACAACAUGGUCACUGUCAAGAGUAAUGCAUUAUUAAUAAAUGCGUUUUAUGUGAAACUGUUGACAUUAUGUCUACCAAUUUAAUGUUCUUAAUGGUUCUAGCUUCAACAUUCUGCAUUAUACCUCUUGAUGCCUUUACAUCCUUGCAUGAUAAGAUACUCAUAUAUUUCACGUCAGCUGGUUAAAAACAUCUGCAGUAGCUAAGCUAAAGCAUUGAUGAUAAGAGUAGACCUGAUUGUUGCUUCAAUAAUAAGAGGUUUUUUAUAUAACAUUUGUUUACAUUUUAAGACUGUCUACCCUUGACACAUCUUUUAUUAACUCGCGGUAUAAAGUUCUGAUUGUGCACGAAAUGUUACAUAUAAUCUUACUUCACCAAUGGUAUCAAUUAGUGGAUAAGAAUGAGGUACUAUGUUCCUUUAUUACAGACUCCUGUCUCUUAUUUUGCCUUGUUCCUGACCUUGGCUGAAAUACAGCCGAACAAUAAAAAUAUACAAUUUCUCAGGCAGUUAUCUUUAUUGAAUUGAGUGUGCAUGAAUGUAAGUGCCAAAGUGAUUAAAAGCCAUGGAAUCAACACACAUCAAUUUUUAUUUUAUAUAUAUAUACAUCACAUAAAGCUCCUCUACUUAUGCUUAAGAUUACAACGCUUUUUGGAUAAUUAGGCUUGGCAAAACAGUCCAUUAGCUUUUAUACAAAAAGUAUUACAUGUCUGAUGACAAUAAUUUUCUACACAAAAAUAUUACGUCUGAUGACAAUCAUUUUCUACAUAAACCGUAACUUUUGAAUGUUUUACUCUUAUAGCCAUGACAUUGACACAUUAAGUAUAAUGUCUCUCUUAAAGCAGAAAAUAGCAUCAACCUGAAGUUGGGACGGUGAUUUUAACAUUAUGAUCAAUAUUAAUCUUGCACAAAUGUAAAUAAAGGAGAUGAUACAAAAUUAAUCGAAAUACAAGGACAUCUAUAUUAUGUCAACUCAGUAUUAAUUAAUUUUGUGAUGACAAUUUGAAUUCGCAUGGAU
rnacentral:lncRNA from 1 species